GUGCUCGCUUGGGCAGCACAUGUACUAAAAUUGGAACAAUAUAGAGAUUAGCAAGGCCCUUGCACAAGGAUGACUUGCAAAUUUGUGAAGUGUUCCAUAUUUUU
ensembl:snRNA U6 U6 spliceosomal RNA